ACAGAACACCCAGCAAAAAAA
rnacentral:sRNA from 1 species